rnacentral:rRNA from 1 species
AUUUUUAAGGUAAAAUUUAAUUUUUUUGUUAAAUUGAUGAUUUUUAAUUGUAUGAAAUAAAUAAAUAUAAUAUAGACUAUGGAUUAGAUACCCUAUUAUUAAUAGAUGAAUAAAAUCUUGAGUAGUAGAUUUAUUUAAAACUCAAAGAAUUUGGCGGUAUUUUAUCAAUUUAGAGGAACCUGUUCAGUAAUUGAUAGUCCACGUUUUAUCUUACAUUAGUUUGUUGUUCAGUUUGUAUACCUCCGUUGUUAGAAAGAUUUUGAAAAAUUCUUUUAUUUUUAAUUUUAUUAAAUACUUCAGGUCAAGGUGCAGCUUAUAUUAAUGAUGAAAUGGGUUACAAUUAUUUUAAUAAUGGAUUAGUGUUUGAAACAGUACUAUGAAAUUGGAUUUAUAAGUAAUAAUUUUUAAGGAAAAAUUUUUGAAAUUAGCUCCUAAAAUGUGCCCACGCCGCGCCCG